GACUUUCUCUAAUGCUCGUAAGGAUUGAUCUGAAAGUAAAUUCAUUCAACUCUCAGAAAAAGGUGAUCUGAGAUUAGCUUUGAAGGUGAUCUGAGAUUAUCCCCAGAAAAAGGUGAUCUGAGAUUAUCCCCAGAAAAAGGUGAUCUGAGAUUAUCUUUGAAGGAUUAAAAACUUCACCAGGCUUCUUUCAGUAGAUAUUGAUUAUCUAUUUUGAUUCAAUAAAUAAUCUUCUCAAAAAUAAUUAUCAAAGCUGUGAAAAAAUAAAUGAAUUAUGGUAAUUCAUGUUUUGAACUUUUUUGACACAAUUUUCUGACUAAAAUGUUUACUUUCAGGAUUUAGGGAGCUAAAAUGUUUCGGAUCCAGAUUUAGGGAGCUAAAAUGUUUCGCUUCCGGAUCCAAGGAGCUUAAAUGUGGCGGAUCCAGAUCUAGGAAGCUAAACUCUUUCGGUUUAAGUUUGCGGAUAAAUGAAUGACCUGGUGUUGUUUGAAGAUGAACCCUGGUGUGCCGAGCAAAGAAUUUAGGUUUCAGGGUUUUAUAUUGACAUAGAGAACAUUUAUACAGGGCACACUCAACCUCAAUCUUCUAAACAGGGAAAACAAUCUUUAAUUAUUUGCAGAAAUUUAGAACGGAAAAUCAGCAAAUAAUCAUUAGAAUUUCUUUUAAUUCAAAAGAUUUAGUUCAAACACAAUUCUGGGAAGCAUUUUUUCCCCAAGCCAUAAAAUCUUACUUUGAAUAGAUAAUCUACAUAAUUAAGAUAUUAAAUGAACUGUACACGCAAUUUUAAGCGACUCACUCUACAGAGUGGCGUUUCCAAUUCACAAUGGUACCCUUCAAGCUUUUUAGGAUCAAAAAUGAAGGAAAUAUCCAUGUUUUCUCUACAAAAAAUGAUUUUUUGUGGUAUCUUUUUGAUAGUGACUUGAAGAUUUCUCUUGCAAAACAAUUUAGGAAAUUGUGAGAAUCAAACACUUUUCAAGCGAUAAAACAUCAAUAUUUUCCACAGUAUUGAUAUGAUAAAGGUUAAAAAGGUACAAAAAUGGUAAGCGUAAUGGACUGUAAGCGUAAUUACAAGUUACUCUGUGUUGCAUUGAUGGCAAUAUCCGAUUUACAACGGUACCCUUUAAAGAUUUGUCUGAUCAAGUAUGUAUUAAGAUAUGCAUGUUUUUUAUUUAAACUGUUCAUUCAUUCGUGUUUUCUUGCCUAUUAGAAACAAUGGAGAACUUCGCAAACUUAACAUUUUUGAUCAGAUUAAUGUUUCAAUGGUACUGUUGUGAAUCGGGCAUUGUUAUCUUUGCGGGGAUGUUCCAUUAAAAAAUACGCUAACAGUCUCUUAACAUGGACAUAGCUUUGUAAGAAUUACCUUCCGAAGAUGAUAAUAUUUCUUAUGUCGAAGAAAUGUUUUCCGGUCUGAUGUUUU